GCCCCCGUAGCUCAGUUGGUAGAGCAAGUCACUUUUAAUGACGAGGCCCCAGGUUCGAUCCCUGGCGGGGGCA
rnacentral:tRNA from 1 species